rnacentral:sRNA from 1 species
AGUGCAGGCUCUCGUUAGUAGAGAGGAAAGUGUUCAUCUCAGUACUUCCUCACAGCAGCAGAUAUUCUUAUAUUUUUAAUGCUUUCUAAUUUGCUAGAUAGAAAAUGGCAUCUGUUUGUCGACUUGGAAUGUGUACCCCUGAGUCCACAUCCCCGGCUUUUACCCCAGGGCUAUGGGUGGAGGCAUAUCCGUGGAAAACGCUAGCUGAGAUUUUGUCUUGCAGCUGACUUUGGUGUGUCUGCCAAGAAUCUGAAGACUCUACAGAAACGAGAUUCCUUCAUCGGCACGCCUUACUGGACUCUGUGUUCCGGGUUGCUGCUGCCAUCUCGCGGUAGGCAUCGGAACUGCAGCAGGACGUGGCGGGGAGCCGCGUGGAGGCGUUUUUCUGUGGAAGAGCGUCCUAAGGAAGACAGUGGGAUGCAAAGUCACGCAGAUCAUGAUUCGGGAGUGCUGCCAACCCCGACAGUGGCUCGUGGUGGCCCUUGACCCUGAAUGUCCAAGAAGCACCUGUAAAGGCCAGAUUCUUAGCCCUAUGUUGUCCCUUGGUUGGUUCA